rnacentral:lncRNA from 1 species
CUACUAUGGGUGUUUUCUGUGCUUCAACUUUACUUAUGUGGAAUUCUCAGAAGACACCUCCCCUCCUAAAGAAGGAUCUUCUUCUCAACUGUGGAUACUUCCAUCUCUUCAAGAUCCCCACAGGCCCAUGAUGUUUCCUGAUAUCUGGAUGAAGGGGACACUUGAAGCCACAGCAAUUUGCUGCAGGGCAGCCUCUCCUUUUGGCAAUACUGAGUCUUUUGUCUAGGAAAAGACAGCCCAGCAACUGCCUCCGUUUCCAUUGUUCUCUAGUACUGGGGUGGGUUUGCAGGAAAGUUGCCUCUGAGCAGAUGGCAGUGCUGUUUGAUGGAGGGAUUUCACGUUCAGAACACCAAUGAAUCGAGGUUUGUAUGUUCACACUGUGCACUGCUUCGUACCUGGCACAAAUUGCAUAUUUUUACAGUAUUGCCUGUGGAUAUGGCCCACUUAAAUUGCCUGUGUAGAAAUCAUGGCUCAAUUUAUGUCCUGUUCCAAAUCUGCUGCAGAAGAGUCCAUCAUGCAAGAGACUAAUUUUUAAUUGGCAGAAGGCCAUGUGCUGUGUGCCUGCCAAAGAGGAAGUGCUUCAGGACCAUUCUCUGAAAUGAAUUAAGAAAAUGCCUUUGUUGCUUGUGAUGAAUCAGAAAGCCACCUGACAAAGACUCCCAAGCCAUGAAUCCCCAAAUACUUACUGCCAGCACUAAAGACACCUGAAAGAGAUGUAAUAGGGUCCAGAAUCCCCCAGUGAAAUUCAACUUGUUUAUUACCAUAGGGCUUUGGCCUACAAAACCUGC